CCAUUAGAUGUUCUGGGCCGCACGCGCGCUACACUGAUGCAUUCAACGAGCCUAUCCUUGACCGACAGGUCCGGGUAAUCUUUGAAUCUGCAUCGUGACGGGGAUAGAUUAUUGCAAUUAUUAAUCUUCAACGAGGAAUGCCUAGUAGGCGCAAGUCAUCAGCUUGCGUCGAUUACGUCCCUGCCCUUUGUACACACCGCCCGUCGCUCCUACCGAUUGGGUGUGCUGGUGAAAUGUUCGGAUCGGCCGUUUGUCGCGGUUUCCGCGUCAUGUGGCUGAGAAGUUCAUUAAACCCUCCCACCUAGAGGAAGGAGAAGUCGUAACA
rnacentral:rRNA from 1 species